CAGUUGGGGACACAAAACUCUUGAGUUUCAGCUAAGGCCACAACAAUCACCUUCUGAGCCAAGUACAGAUGCUCAUUUCUAGGUUCAUCCUGCCUGCUUUGUUUCAGAAGAUGUGACAGGGGAGCGAGCCCCUGAACUUUCCUACCAACUUGCCCAGAGGAUGGGCACCGUUAGAAGAGGAAAGGAUAUAGUUUAAAAAGCUGUCAUCAAUUGAAACAACAAAAAUGGAGGACUCGGAUUCUGCAGAAAACACAUCCUGAGACACAACCCCAAUUAACUCCACAUGUUUGUGGUGAUGACUGAGCAAGAAGAGAUCAUGGGAAGUUGACAAGUCUGGACUGAAUCAAGAGAAUCAGCAUAAAUCUCAACCGAUGCCUAAUUUUAGAGAUGUCUGGUCCUCUAAACGAGUCUUUGCCACAGCCAGAUGGGGUGGGAGACAACAUUGGAGGGUGGAAACGAGAGAGGUGCCAAACUGAAGCUCAAAAGGUUGUGCCCCUCAGAUACUGCUUCUCCUAUGCAUUUUGCUCUGGUGAUGGUGGAUGAUCUCUUGUCUGCGGACCAAUGAUAACACACACAUUCAAGAGGUGUUGUGAAAGAGAAAAGAUGGCUGAGCAAGAAUGUGUUCCAGGCCUCUUUUGUGGCCUUUUAUCUCAGUCUCAUAGGUUGGGCUAUUGAGCCCCAGGGAUUCCGUGGGAUGGAAACAGACGUGGACAUCACCUACCUGGAUCUUUCCAUGGAACUGAGCAUCCUAAUAUAGGUCUUCACGCUUGAAUGGU
rnacentral:lncRNA from 1 species